rnacentral:rRNA from 1 species
AUUGAACGCUGGCGGCAGGCUUAACGCAUGCAAGUCGAGCGGGGUGAUGGUGCUUGCACUAUCACUUAGCGGCGGACGGGUGAGUAAUGCUUAGGAAUCUGCCUAUUAGUGGGGGACAACAUCUCGAAAGGGAUGCUAAUACCGCAUACGUCCUACGGGAGAAAGCAGGGGAUCACUUGUGACCUUGUGCUAAUAGAUGAGCCUAAGUCGGAUUAGCUAGUUGGUGGGGUAAAGGCCUACCAAGGCGACGAUCUGUAGCGGGUCUGAGAGGAUGAUCCGCCACACUGGGACUGAGACACGGCCCAGACUCCUACGGGAGGCAGCAGUGGGGAAUAUUGGACAAUGGGGGGAACCCUGAUCCAGCCAUGCCGCGUGUGUGAAGAAGGCCUUAUGGUUGUAAAGCACUUUAAGCGAGGAGGAGGCUUACCUAGUUAAUACCUGGGAUAAGUGGACGUUACUCGCAGAAUAAGCACCGGCUAACUCUGUACCAGCAGCCGCUGUAAUAC